rnacentral:rRNA from 1 species
AGAGUUUGAUCCUGGCUCAGGAUGAACGCUAGCUACAGGCUUAACACAUGCAAGUCGAGGGGCAGCAUGGUCUUAGCUUGCUAAGGCCGAUGGCGACCGGCGCACGGGUGAGUAACACGUAUCCAACCUGCCGUCUACUCUUGGACAGCCUUCUGAAAGGAAGAUUAAUACAAGAUGGCAUCAUGAGUCCGCAUGUUCACAUGAUUAAAGGUAUUCCGGUAGACGAUGGGGAUGCGUUCCAUUAGAUAGUAGGCGGGGUAACGGCCCACCUAGUCUUCGAUGGAUAGGGGUUCUGAGAGGAAGGUCCCCCACAUUGGAACUGAGACACGGUCCAAACUCCUACGGGAGGCAGCAGUGAGGAAUAUUGGUCAAUGGGCGAGAGCCUGAACCAGCCAAGUAGCGUGAAGGAUGACUGCCCUAUGGGUUGUAAACUUCUUUUAUAAAGGAAUAAAGUUGGGUAUGGAUACCCGUUUGCAUGUACUUUAUGAAUAAGGAUCGGCUAACUCCGUGCCAGCAGCCGCGGUAAUACGGAGGAUCCGAGCGUUAUCCGGAUUUAUUGGGUUUAAAGGGAGCGUAGAUGGAUGUUUAAGUCAGUUGUGAAAGUUUGCGGCUCAACCGUAAAAUUGCAGUUGAUACUGGAUAUCUUGAGUGCAGUUGAGGCAGGCGGAAUUCGUGGUGUAGCGGUGAAAUGCUUAGAUAUCACGAAGAACUCCGAUUGCGAAGGCAGCCUGCUAAGCUGCAACUGACAUUGAGGCUCGAAAGUGUGGGUAUCAAACAGGAUUAGAUACCCUGGUAGUCCACACGGUAAACGAUGAAUACUCGCUGUUUGCGAUAUACUGCAAGCGGCCAAGCGAAAGCGUUAAGUAUUCCACCUGGGGAGUACGCCGGCAACGGUGAAACUCAAAGGAAUUGACGGGGGCCCGCACAAGCGGAGGAACAUGUGGUUUAAUUCGAUGAUACGCGAGGAACCUUACCCGGGCUUAAAUUGCAGAUGAAUUACGGUGAAAGCCGUAAGCCGCAAGGCAUCUGUGAAGGUGCUGCAUGGUUGUCGUCAGCUCGUGCCGUGAGGUGUCGGCUUAAGUGCCAUAACGAGCGCAACCCUUGUUGUCAGUUACUAACAGGUUCCGCUGAGGACUCUGACAAGACUGCCAUCGUAAGAUGUGAGGAAGGUGGGGAUGACGUCAAAUCAGCACGGCCCUUACGUCCGGGGCUACACACGUGUUACAAUGGGGGGUACAGAGGGCCGCUACCACGCGAGUGGAUGCCAAUCCCCAAAACCUCUCUCAGUUCGGACUGGAGUCUGCAACCCGACUCCACGAAGCUGGAUUCGCUAGUAAUCGCGCAUCAGCCACGGCGCGGUGAAUACGUUCCCGGGCCUUGUACACACCGCCCGUCAAGCCAUGGGAGCCGGGGGUACCUGAAGUGCGUAACCGCGAGGAGCGCCCUAGGGUAAAACUGGUGACUGGGGCUAAGUCGUAACAAGGUAGCCGUACCGGAAGGUGCGGCUG